UCAAGCUAAUAAGAGCAUAGGGUGGAUGCCUUGGCACUAGGAGCCGAUGAAGGUCGUGAUAAGCUGCGAAAAGCUUUGGGUAGGCGCAAAUAGCCUUUGAUCCAGAGAUUACCGAAUGGGGAAACCUGGCUGAGAAAAGCUCAGUCACUGCAUACUGAAUACAUAGGUAUGCAGGGGGAACUCGGGGAACUGAAACAUCUAAGUACCCGAAGGAAGAGAAAGAAAAAUCGAUUACCAAAGUAGCGGCGAGCGAAAUGGUAACAGGCCAAACCGAAGGACCUAGUUCUUCGGGGUUGCGGACUGCAACAUGUAGUAUGAUAUCUAGCCGAAGUGUUUUGGGAAAGCACAGCGAAGAGGGUGAAACUCCCGUAGGCGAAAGGUUGAUUACGCUAGCAGUAUCCAGAGUAACACGAGACACGAGAAACCUUGUGUGAAGCCGGGGGGACCACCCCCCAAGCCUAAAUACUACCUAGUGACCGAUAGCGCAUAGUACUGUGAAGGAAAGGUGAAAAGAACCCCGGGAGGGGAGUGAAAGAGAACCUGAAACCCUAUGUUUACAAGCAGUGGAAGCACCUUACGUGUGCGACCGCGUACUUUUUGUAUAACGGUCCAGCGAGUUACGAUUCUUGGCAAGGUUAAGCACUUAAGGUGUGGAGCCGAAGGGAAGCCGAGUCUUAAUAGGGCGUUAAGUCAAUGAUCGUAGACCCGAAACCGGGUGACCUAUCCAUGUGCAGGUUGAAGUUACCGUAAAAGGUAAUGGAGGACCGAACUCACAUCAGUUGAAAAUGGUGGAGAUGACGUGUGGAUAGCGGAGAAAUUCCAAUCGAACCCGGAGAUAGCUGGUUCUCCUCGAAAUAGCUUUAGGGCUAGCCUCGAGAAAGUCUAAUGGAGGUAGAGCACUGAAUUGCCUAGGGCGCUUCACAGCGUACCGAAGUAUAUCAAACUCCGAAUGCCAUAUAGAUGAUUCUCGGGAGUCAGACUAUGGGAGAUAAGUUUCAUAGUCAAAAGGGAAAGAGCCCAGACCGUCAGCUAAGGUCCCAAAAUAUAUGUUAAGUGGUAAAGGAUGUGGGAUUUCACAGACAACUAGGAUGUUGGCUUAGAAGCAGCCAUUCAUUCAAAGAGUGCGUAAUAGCUCACUAGUCGAGAGAUCCUGCGCCGAAAAUGUAACGGGGCUAAAACAUAUUACCGAAGCUACGGGUUGAUAGAUUAAUCUAUCAGCGGUAGAGGAGCAUUCCUAACACGACGAAGCUGUACCGUAAGGAGCAGUGGAGAGUUAGGAAGAGAGAAUGCUGGAAUGAGUAGCGAGAGAGAAGUGAGAAUCUUCUCGGCCGAAUAUCUAAGGUUUCCAAAGUAAAGCUGAUCUUCUUUGGGUAAGUCGGGACCUAAGGUGAGGGCGAAAGCCGUAGCCGAUGGACAACAGGUUGAUAUUCCUGUACUACGUAUAAACAGAACUGUGGGGACACGGAAGGAUAGGGAAAUCCAGGAAUGGAAAAACUGGUGCAAGCACAAAGGCUGAAUGGUAGGCAAAUCCGCCAUUCGCGAAGGUUGAAGUGUUACGCGGAUCGAAAUUAAAGUAGAGAAGUUCCUGAAUCCAUGCCGUCGAGAAAAGCCGCUAUAGUUUUAUACGUACCCGUACCGCAAACCGACACAGGUAGAUGAGGAGAGAAUCCUAAGGCCGACGGGAGAAGCGUUGUUAAGGAACUCGGCAAAAUGACCCCGUAACUUCGGGAGAAGGGGUGCCCCAUGCAAAUGGGGCCGCAGAGAAUAGGCCCAAGCGACUGUUUAGCAAAAACACAGGUUUAUGCAAAACCGAAAGGUGAAGUAUAUGAGCUGACGCCUGCCCGGUGCUGGAAGGUUAAGGGGAGUGCUUAGACUUUAGGUCGAAGGUGCGAACUUAAGCCCCAGUAAACGGCGGCCGUAACUAUAACGGUCCUAAGGUAGCGAAAUUCCUUGUCGGGUAAGUUCCGACCCGCACGAAAGGCGUAACGAUUUGG
rnacentral:rRNA from 1 species